rnacentral:rRNA from 1 species
AUUACCUACGGGGCGCAGCAGUGGGGAAUAUUGCGCAAUGGGGGAAACCCUGACGCAGCAACGCCGCGUGCGGGAUGAAGGCUUUCGGGUUGUAAACCGCUUUCAGCAGGGAAGAUAAUGACGGUACCUGCAGAAGAAGCCCCGGCUAACUACGUGCCAGCAGCCGCGGUAAUACGAAGGGGGCAAGCGUUAUCCGGAUUCAUUGGGCGUAAAGCGCGCGCAGGCGGGAC